rnacentral:misc_RNA from 1 species
GAUGAAGAACGUAGCGAAAUGCGAUAGGUAGUGUGAAUUGCAGAUGUAACGUGAAUCAUCGAAUCUUUGAACGCAAAUUGCACUCUCUGGUAUUCCGGGGAGUAUGCCUGUUUGAGGGUCGCCAAAUCAACAUCGAAAUUCAUUUGCUUUUGUAAAUGUUUAUCGGAUUUGAGCCGUCUUUUUAUUUUUUUUAAAGUGGCUUAAAAUGUAUUUUUUUGGUAUCGAAAAACGUUAUUUUACGAUCCAAUCGAUCAAAAAACAAACGUUUCGAAUGCCGUCUUUUAAUGUAAUACGUUUGACUGUGUCAUACAAUCAUGGUUUCAUUCGUAUACGAGUUUAAUUUUUGACCUCAAAUCAGGUAAGAACACCCGCUGAACUUAAGCAUAUUAAUAAGCGGAGGA